UAGGCCUUCUCAGUGUGCUGGAUCUGUCUGCACAAUCUGUCAUCUAUGAAAUCGCCACCGUAGCUUAUAUGAUUCCCUUUGGGAUCGGGGCCUCCACCAGUGUCCGAGUCGGCAACGCCUUAGGAGCCAGGAAAGUGGAAGAUGCCCGGAGGUCUUCUCUGGUCGCCAUGAUUUGCACAGUGGGAUUCUUCCUUCUGAUGUGUGUUGUGUUGACAGCCUCAAAAGAUGUCUUGGCGUACAUUUUCACAAGUGAAAAGUAAG